UGCGCGUCCCCCGCCUCCCGCCGCGCGCACCGCCAACGGCUACUCCGGUCGUGAACGUCCUGCCGGGCCCCCCAGUCCCCUGCUCUGGGGCCUGUGUCCCCUUGAGCUCUGACUCCACCCCCACCGCAGCCAGGCUGGCCGCCGAGCGCUGGCCGGGGUGGUCCUGGAGACCAGGAGACAGGACAGUCACCGUGCAAACCCCCAGCCCUCCGUCUGGACCCCAGGGCCCGGCUGGCACCCUCUCCCAAGGUCAGAGGCACCGAUCCCGAUUUCAGUGGAGGAAACAGGCUCAGAGAGUCACCACACGAGCUGGCCUGUCAUGGGCCGUGACGUGGCCCUGCCGUGGGUUUGAGUCCAGACCAACCUGGCCCCAAAGGCUGUCCUUGCACAGGAGCCUGAGGCUCUGAGCCCAGCCUUGGAGGCUGACGUGGAUGCAGGAGGUCCCUCACCUGCUGGUUGGAGAGCAGCGAGAAGCUGACGUUGCA
rnacentral:lncRNA from 1 species